AUUGCAGUAAUGCAAUCACAGUAUUGAUCUUCUUAAGUCUUAUUCUUCUUCUUAUUAUUAUUAUUAUUAUUAUUAUUCCACCUGUUUUUUGUCCGGUUAACUAGUGCCGCAGUUUUCGAAAUAUCGACUUCGUUCAAAAGAGAAAACGUGCGUCCAUAUCGGGAAUGGUGGGCUUGUAUACAGCUUUCCGAUCGGACUUACGUUUUUCGUAAAAACUUCGUAAGUACGCGUUUUUUUGCCCAUUGAAAAUGAAUGGGCAGAACUUUGCACGCCCGUGGACGUCGCAAUUUUUGAAAUACGAAGAUGAAACCAAUUGAGGACCUGUAGAACUUAUUGAGCUCUUUCCGAAAAUAUGCGUUACGAAAAGUUACGACGUACGGAUUUCGUACGAAUGUCGUACGAAGUGGCCCCAUUGGAAUGAAUGGGGCCAAUCGGAGGACGGCAGCUAGAUCGAAGGACAGGUAGCUAGAACUCCAGUACUGUGUGUAAUGGAGCAGCUAUGGGAUAAAUCAGCGUUAGGUCAAAAGUUUGGACACCCCGGCCCCCCCCCAGUACUGUGUGUAAUGGAGCCAUGGGUCAAAAGUUUGGACACCCCGGCCCCCCAGUACUGUGUGUAAUGGAGCCAUGGGUCAAAAGUUUGGACACCCCGGCCCCCCAGUACUGUGUGUAAUGGAGCCAUGGGUCAAAAGUUUGGACACCCCGGCCCCCCAGUACUGUGUGUAAUGGAGCCACGGGUCAAAAGUUUGGACACCCCCGAACGGCCAAAGCAACCUAGCGUGCAUAGCUGAUUGAUGUAUUUGCACGUUGCGUAGCAACGUGCAAACACCAUUUAAUCUAAUUUAUGCAUAUAAAUCACCUAGCAACCACCUAGAAACACCAUAGCAACCACCACAGAUACCAUAGCAACACCUUAGCAAACGCCUAGCAACACCUUAGCAACCACCUAGCAACCACCUAGCAACACCUUAGCAACCUCCCCGGAUACCAUAGCAACACCUUAGCAACCGCCUAGCAACACCUUAGCAACCGCAUAGCAACCACUUAGCAACACCUUAGCAACCACCCCGGAUACCAUAGCAACACCUUAGCAACCGCCUAGCAACCACCUAGCAACACCUUAGCAACCACCCCGGAUACCAUAGCAACACCUUAGCAACCGCCUAGCAACACCUUAGCAACCACCUAGCAACACCUUAGCAACCACCCCGGAUACCAUAGCAACACCUUAGCAACCGCCUAGCAACAC